AGCAGCCGCGGUAAUUCCAGCUCCAAUAGCGUAUAUUAAAGUUGUUGCAGUUAAAAAGCUCGUAGUUGAAUUUCGGGAUUAGUAAGUUGGUCGUGCCUCUGGUAUGUACUGGCUUUACUGGUUCCUCCUUCUUGAAGAACUGUAAUGUUAUUAAUUUGGUGUUGCAGGGAAACAGGACUGUUACUUUGAAAAAAUUAGAGUGUUUAAAGCAGGCUAACGCUUGAAUACAUUAGCAUGGAAUAAUGAAAUAGGACGUUUGAUCCUAUUUUGUUGGUUUCUAGGAUUGACGUAAUGAUUAAUAGGGAUAGUUGGGGGCAUUAGUAUUCAAUUGUCAGAGGUGAAAUUCUUGGAUUUAUUGAAGACUAACUACUGCGAAAGCAUUUGCCAAGGAUGUUUUCAUUAAUCAAGAACGAAAGUUAGGGGAUCGAAGACGAUCAGAUACCGUCGUAGUCUUAACCAUAAACUAUGCCGACUAGGGAUCGGAUGAUGUUAAUUUUUUAAUGUACUCAUUCGGCGCCUU
rnacentral:rRNA from 1 species